rnacentral:rRNA from 1 species
UAUUGCACAAUGGGGGAAACCCUGAUUCAGCAACGCCGCGUGAGUGAAGAAGUAUUUCGGUAUGUAAAACUCUAUCAGCAGGGAAGAAGAUGACGGUACCUGAGUAAGAAGCCCCGGCUAACUACUUGCCAGCAGCCGCGGGAAUACGUAGGGGGCAAGCGUUAUCCGGAUUUACUGGGUGUAAAGGGAGCGUAGACGGCUGCGCAAGUCUGAAGUGAAAGCCCGGGGCUCAACCCCGGGACUGCUUGGGAAACUGUGCUGCUAGAGUGCUGGAGAGGCAAGCGGAAUUCCUAGUGUAGCGGUGAAAUGCGUAGAUAUUAGGAAGAACACCAGUGGCGAAGGCGGCUUGCUGGACAGUAACUGACGUUGAGGCUCGAAAGCGUGGGGAGCAAACA